AUGGUUAAACUACUUUUGCAGGAGCGGACUGUGAAGGUGAUUUUGUAUAUAUCAUCUUUGAGUUGUAAUGUGAAAAAGGCCUUUUCUCAUAAUCUCAACUUCUACUGGCCUGUUUACAUGGGAAUAAAAUAUGUAUGUGAUAGCAUUAGAGCAUUAGAGUUUUACAAUGAAGAUGGUCGUAGUUAA